rnacentral:rRNA from 1 species
UACGUAGGGUGCAAGCGUUGUCCGGAAUUAUUGGGCGUAAAGAGCUCGUAGGCGGUUUGUCGCGUCGAAUGUGAAAUCCCGGGGCUCAACCCCGGGUCUGCAUUCGAUACGGGCAGACUAGAGUUCGGUAGGGGAGUCUGGAAUUCCUGGUGUAGCGGUGAAAUGCGCAGAUAUCAGGAGGAACACCGGUGGCGAAGGCGGGACUCUGGACAGUUCCUGACACUGAGACACGAAGGCCAGGGGAGCAAACGGG